rnacentral:rRNA from 1 species
GACGAACGCUGGCGGCGUGCUUAACACAUGCAAGUCGAACGGAAAGGCCCUGCUUUUGUGGGGUGCUCGAGUGGCGAACGGGUGAGUAACACGUGAGUAACCUGCCCUUGACUUUGGGAUAACUUCAGGAAACUGGGGCUAAUACCGGAUAGGAGCUCCUGCUGCAUGGUGGGGGUUGGAAAGUUUCGGCGGUUGGGGAUGGACUCGCGGCUUAUCAGCUUGUUGGUGGGGUAGUGGCUUACCAAGGCUUUGACGGGUAGCCGGCCUGAGAGGGUGACCGGCCACGUUGGGACUGGGAUGCGGCCCAGACUCCUACGGGAGGCAGCAGUGGGGAAUAUUGCACAAUGGGCGGAAGCCUGAUGCAGCAACGCCGCGUGGGGGAUGACGGCCUUCGGGUUGUAAACCGCUUUCGCCUGUGACGAAGCGUGAGUGACGGUAAUGGGUAAAGAAGCACCGGCUAACUACGUG